CAGGCUCAGGGGGAGUAGGAGCUUCCUAAUCUGUUGCUGGCCAGGCCUGUGGUAGGCUAAGUAAUUGUAGAGCCUGUAUAUAGUUGGAAACAGGAGGUGGGGAACUGAUCACGAAUAAAGAACAUGGGCAUUGCACCAGAUUGAAGUGUCCCUGAUCCACAGAGGAGAGGGGCCAAGGGGCCAAAUCCAAAGAGGUGCAGUGGGUACCCCAUUACGAGCACCCGUGGGGGAUACAGCUGAAAGAACCAUUGUUACUGCACAAGAUGGACUGACCAGCUAACCAAGACAUUGGAGUGAGUGUUGAUUUCUGGGCUAUGCCCAUUUCCGUGAACAAGUCUAUUGCAGAUCUGGUGACUUCAAGAGCUUCUUGGAGGGACUGGGCUCUGAGGAGGCGAUCAUCCAGAUGCCCAGUGAGCAGAAAAUGGCCCUAGAAUCUUUUACUGCAUGAAGAGAGGUAUCUGUCUUCUCCACAAAGAGCUUGGCACCUUCAAAGGGAAGAUCUUUGAUGGUCGACUGCACCUCCUUAGGGAAAUCAGACAGGUGUAGCCAUAAUGCAUGCCACAUCACCACCACCACGGAGAUGGUCCUGGCCACUGUGUUGAGAGCAGACUGUAGCGAUGUCUUGACCACUAACAAUCCCACCUGAAUGAUGGUUUUAAAUUGGUUGCAGUGUCUCUCAGGCAGCUCAUCAAUAAAACUGUUAAGUUUCAAA